UUAAAGAUUUAUCGGUGAUGGAUGGGGAUGCGUCUGAAUUAGCUUGUUGGCGGGGUAACGGCCCACCAAGGCGACGAUCAGUAGGGGUUCUGAGAGGAAGGUCCCCCCACAUUGGAACUGAGACACGGUCCAAACUCCUACGGGAGGCAGCAGUGAGGAAUAUUGGUCAAUGGGCGAGAGCCUGAACCAGCCAAGUAGCGUGCAGGAUGACGGCCCUAUGGGUUGUAAACUGCUUUUAUAAGGGAAUAAAGUGAGCUACGUGUAGCUUUUUGCAUGUACCUUAUGAAUAAGGACCGGCUAAUUCCGUGCCAGCAGCCGCGGUAAUACGGAAGGUCCGGGCGUUAUCCGGAUUUAUUGGGUUUAAAGGGAGCGUAGGCCGGAGAUUAAGCGUGUUGUGAAAUGUAGAUGCUCAACAUCUGCACUGCAGCGCGAACUGGUUUCCUUGAGUACGCACAAAGUGGGCGGAAUUCGUGGUGUAGCGGUGAAAUGCUUAGAUAUCACGAAGAACUCCGAUUGCGAAGGCAGCUCACUGGAGCGCAACUGACGCUGAAGCUCG
rnacentral:rRNA from 1 species